AGAUUGUGCCUGCUACCUCUUCACCUUCUGCCAUGAUUGGGAUGUUGCUGGAAGGAAAGACCACAUUGAGCUGAACUAUUGACCUUCUGAGAGAUUUGCACUUCCUCAAAGCAACACAGCAGGAUUGAAACAAGCAGACAGGAUUACAAGCUGUUUACACCACAAUUUCAGUGCCACUCUUAAGCGGAAUUGACCUAGAAACAAGAUGUAUUCAUGGAGACUUCUACCUGCCAACUCCCCAGAAACUACCUCAUACCAAACUUUUCAUUAAGGAACAGGUAACUCAACACUCUUUUUCCACUACUGUUAUUGCUAUUGCUCGAAAUAUAACAAUGUUAGCACUAUAAAAUUAAAUUCUGCUUAUUUAGAUAAGGCAAAAGGUAAUGCCAUUUCAUUUUAAACAAUUCUGCUUUUAAUAGUACAUUUUAAAAUAGUUUCUUCCUUAAAAAGGAAAAUACAAUGUGUACAUUUAUACAAUCGCAAAUAGAAUUUUCUAUUACAGAAUUCAUAUCUCAAUUGUUGUCAAUGAAUGAGCACAGUCUAUAUAGCAUAUUUUAAGUUGGCAAAUAGAAUGUGCCAGAGAAAUAUAUUACACCUUAAGACUUUAAUUUCCCUCAACCUAUUUAUGACAGAUACAGCUAGCCAAUAAAAGAAAAGGAAUGAAAAUAUAGAAAAGAAUCCUAUGCCUUCUCACUGCCCAGUCCUCACACUCAUGAUUCUCCCGGGGAUGAGUUAUAAUUGCCUCCAGGGAGGGAGAAAAAAGAGACAUGAAAUCCGGCUCUGAUAGUGUAAGAGAUUGCUAAUCACCAAGACAACAGUAAUCACAGGACUAAACUACAAAAUCCAGGGACCACAAGCAAAUGAGUCAGCAGCAAUUAUUUAACAGCCUAAAAAUCAGCUUCAUGGGGGAAAAUGCAUUAGGGUCCCAUGAGCCUAAAGGGAAUGGGGCUUUCUUUAAAGCAUUUUUUCAAACACUUUAAAAAGAAAGGAGGCACUCCUUUGCAAAGUCUUUACUACUUUAGAAAUCAUGUUAAAGAUCCAGCACCAACGUUAUGUUUUGUAUCAAUUUUUUAUUCAGCAGUAUAUUAUUUUGUGAAAUUUCAAACUUUCAGAAUACCACAAUGAAUACCCGUAUAUCCUUUACCAAGAUUCGCCAAACGCAGCACAUUUACUCUCUCCCCUCUCCCCAUAUAUAUUUCUUUUCUUUAUUUCUCUUUUUUUCUUGUUUCUCCUUUUUCCUCUUCUUUCUUUCUUUUUCUGAACCUUCUGAGAAUUCACUGUAGAUAUUAUGAGACUUCAAUCCUAGUAUUUCAAUAUGUACCUUUAAGAAUAAAGACAUUAUCCUACAUUAUCCUCCCAUAUAUAUUUCAUUAUUUCUCCUUUUCUUCCUUUCUUUCUUUUCCUGAACCAUCUGAGAACUCAUUGUAGAUAUUAUGACAUUUCAAUCCUAAUAUUUCAAUAUGUACCUUUUUUUUUUUGAGACGGAGUUGCACUCUUGUUGCCUAGGCUGGAGUGCAGUGGCACGAAUUCAGCUCACCACAACUUCCUCCUCCCGGAUUCAAGUGAUUCUCCUGCCUCAGCCUCCCAAGUAGCUGGGACUACAGGCUUGC
rnacentral:lncRNA from 1 species